AUUGAACGCUGGCGGCAGGCCUAACACAUGCAAGUCGAGCGAGCGGCGGACGGGUGAGUAAUGUAUGGGGACUGCCCGAUAGAGGGGGAUAACUACUGGAAACGGUGGCUAAUACCGCAUACUAUCGGAUACCCCAUAUGGGAUUAGCUAGUAGGUGGGGUAAAGGCUCACCUAGUCUACGAUCUCUAGCUGGUCUGAGAGGAUGAUCAGCCACACUGGUACGGAGACACUGCCCAGACUCCUACGGAGGCAGCAGUGGGAAAUAUGUCACAAGGGGCGCAAGCCUUAGGCUGCCAUGCCUCGGGUAUGAAGAAGUCCUUAGGUUUGUAAAGUACUUUCAGCGUGGAGGCUUUACCCGCAGAAGAAGCACCGGCUAACCCCGUGCCAGCAGCCGCGGUAAUUC
rnacentral:rRNA from 1 species